GUGCUCACUUUGGCAGCACGCAUACUAAAACUGGAACGAUACAGAGAAGAUUAGCAUGGCCUCGGCACAAAGGUGACAUAUAAAUUCUCGAAGCAUUCCAUUUUUAA